GUUUGAAGCUAUACCUAUAAAUUUAAAUCUGCAAUACAAUAAAUUUAAACCAUUUCUUAGCUUACAUUAUGAACUUUUGGAGUAGGUAUGAAACACGGCAAAAUUCUUCAGUAACCAUACAUUAGAAGAGUAUAUAGAAACAAACAUUAACACAAUACUUUGAAAAUCUAUACUUCAAUAACUGCAAUCCGAUUUAACAAAAAAUACAGUUGAAAUAUCAACAAUGUCAAAAGUUUACCUCCUCUUAUUUAUUGUAACAUUAGUAUUAUUUACUAAUAAGUGUCGUGCGGAAUGUUGUCUUCCUGCAAGCUGCUCUGGAGUCGUUAGCUUUUUAAAUAUGUGCUUACAAAAAUAUUGUGAAGAUGGUACUGUGCCUGAUGGACGUUAUUGUGGUGUAGGAAAUUGUGAUUGGUUUGGAUGAAAGUGUGACGGUGGAUGUAGACGCGCUAAAAAAAUUGAGGAACACAAAGAAACUGUAAAACCAAGUAAAAAACAUUGUUUAGUACAUUAAUGUACUGUUUAUAUAAAAGUUAAAUGUCAAUGUAACUAAGAAUAUAUUUAACUGAUAAUAAAUAAUACUAGCUUCCAUUUAAAAAAGUA